rnacentral:lncRNA from 1 species
CUCCUCUGCCCAGCCCCACGCCGCCCACCCCAGGCUCCGGGCCACCGCCGCUCCCGCUCCGCCAACUCGGACGGUCCGUGCCCGCGGGGCUACCUCCCGCCGGCGCCUGCACCUGUUGAAGCAGGAACAAGUACACAUCAAAAGGCACUUCAUCCUGGAAGCUAUUUGCACAGAAGCCCAAGCCCCAAGAAGUCCCUUUCACUAGUGGCGGUCGUGCUGCUCAGGUGAGAAGAGCGAGGGGGACAGCCCAGGACUCAGUUCUGGGGCUUGCCUGGUACCCGCUGGAGCACAGCUGAACAAGACUAAACACUGACACCGCAUCGUCCCCUCCUGAAGUCCCAGCAGAAGUGGGCUCCUCUCUUCCAAGCUGUGGUGUACGUGCAGACUUCUGGAGAUUUUUUUUUUUCAGGUAAGCUCCCUUUUUCCCUUUUUAAAUGCUGUAGUUUCUAAAUGGGAAAUUAUAUUCCAUUU